rnacentral:rRNA from 1 species
AUUGAACGCUGGCGGCAGGCCUAACACAUGCAAGUAGAACGAGUGGCGGACGGGUGAGUAAUGUCUGGGAAACUGCCUGAUGGAGGGGGAUAACUACUGGAAACGGUAGCUAAUACCGCAUACCAUAAGCAGUGCCCAGAUUGGAUUAGCUAGUUGGUUGGGUAACGGCUCACCAAGGCGACGAUCCCUAGCUGGUCUGAGAGGAUGACAAGCCACACUGGAACGGAGACACGGUCCAGAAGCCUACGGUAGGCAGCAGUGGGGAAUAUUGCACAAUGGGAGCAAGCCUGAUGCAGCCAUGCCGCGUGUAUGAAGAAGGCCUUCGGGUUGUAAAGUACUUUCAGCGGGGAGGCGUUACCCGCAGAAGAAGCACCGGCUAACUCCGUGCCAGCAGCCGCGGUAAUAC